AUUAACUGAUGUGUGUCAUCCAAGCAUGUCAGUACCAGUUUUUUGUAGUGUUCCCAUCAAAUUUUCUUCACAAGAAUGUGAAGUCAUACAAAGAAGAUUUUCUGAGAUGCUGGCAGCACUCUGGUUCCUGCUGUGCCUCUGUUUUCCCCUGAGCUCGGGGGUUGUAUCUGCAGUAUUGUGAUUUUCUCUUGGCCAUUACUGCUUACAUGUGAGAGCAUGUACUGCUUUUACAGCUUGAACAGUAUGAGCUGUGAAUCACCUGCCCACUUGGUAGUGCUGCCGUCAGUUUGCCCGGGAUGGCAGUGACUAUACUGUUCUUUCAUGUCACAUCUUGUUCAGGCAGGAUGAGCUCUCUGCAGCAAAGCUGAGACACUCUUCUGCAAGCAGAUCUUUCGGUGUUUCGUGUGCCACAUUUGCCAGCUCACCUGUAACCACUUGCCAUAAAAGCAGCACUGCAUGAGGCAGCAGGUUCUCUAACAGCCCCAAUACCACAUCACAUUUGUCACCAAGAAAAGGGAUUGAAGCCUCUUUCCUGCAUUCCAGCUUAAUGCACAAUGUUGAAAGAUUAAUGUUACGUAUUGUAAGUAUCUAUUUUUCAAACGUUCACAAAUUCAAGAAUUUCUCAGACUUUGGAGAAAUGGUGCAUGUUGCACUGAUGCUGUUUUUUUCUAAAUCAUUGGGCAUCUUGACUGAAGGUAAAUCCAGGUUUUACAGUGUUUCUUCUAAAUGUAUAAAAGUACUGAUGUAACAUGGUCACAGCAUUUGCAUGACAGAAGGAGUCUAACAAUAAGCACCCGAGACAGGGCAGUCAGGAGAAAGGGUCUGUCCUUCCCCUGCUGCCCAGGGGUGCCUGAUCAAUGCCCUUCACAAGGGGAACACCAACUGCAUCUUUUUUUGGUAGAUGAGUAUUUUCCAUCACAUAGAACUGGAACUGCUGGGCUAUCUUCUCUUCCUAGGUUGUCUGAUUUAUAUGUUCAAUGGCAGCUAUUAGAAGGCUACAGUAAAACACAAAAUAAUAUAGGCUUUAAUCCUCCUGCAAGAGGAUGUUUGGCUCUACAAGAAGCUGAAUGAGCCCAGACACCAUUUACUUCCAUCCUUUUGAUCUGAAGGAUGCUGCUUGUUAGUGAAGGCAGCUGAUUCUAAUCACAGUGGAGGGCUCUCAUUUGCUAUUUCACACUCACACUCUUCCUCCAAAAAGGAGAAGAGGGUGGAAAUACUGGGAGUGUAGAGCCAUAAAGUGCUUACUGGGCUGCAGUAUCUGUGAGAGUCACUUGUCAGCACAGUCUCUUUUUAGAGAAAUCAUGAUCUUGUUCCUGUCACCCAGAGGAAGCAUUUUCAAUAUAUUAUUUGUGGAGGAGUGAGUUUUUGUAAAGCUGUAUUUUCAUGUGGUUCUUCUACCUACUGUUGUCUAAACACAUGGGAUUGUCUCUCAUCUCUGCAUCAGAAAAUACUACAUUUUCCUGCCAAGAACAUGAAAAUAUGGAGACUGAAAGUCAUCUGACACAAUCUAGCAUCUACUUCCCAUUUGUCUUUCACUCAAGGCAAUGCAUAUACUAUAUUAUAAGAUAACACAGUUUUCAGGAGGGCUAAUAUCUCUACCUCUAACUCUGAAUAAAAAUUACAUUGGGAAUAGUCCAUGGCAACUUUUGUAAUGAGGAGUGAAUUUUUGGAGUAGAAAUAAUUUUAAUUACAUUUGGUUUUCUCCAGAGACUCACAUUGUCCUGUCUUUGAAUUAAUCUAAUCUAUUUUGCAUCAUAGGGCUCUGAAUAUAUUUUGCUAUGUUAUUAAGUCCAUUAUUUAGUUUAAUACUGCAGAAACUAUGAGCUGCAUUUCCUGCAGAAGCUAAUAAAGUGCAGAAGCAGGCAAGUAUUGCAAAGUUGCUUCCACGGAGUCCUCUGUAAAUCUCCGCCUUUAGGCUUUUGGAUUUACAUGAAAAUGGGAUUGGCAGAGCAUAUUACCUCCUGCUGAUAAAAAUAGUGUAAGAUUCAGAGAAACUAUGCUCCUGACUUAUCCAGCAAAAACCUUCAUGCACUCUUCGGGAAACACAAAGUUCUCCUCCUUCUCCUGUGGGCAGAAGACCACCUAUUCUAUAAAAUAGAUGUUUGUAAAACGCAAUCAUUUGUUAACUGGAACAAAUAUUUGGGAGUAUAAAAUACGAUAGGAGGGCAAAGAUACUGAAUUUUGUCAGCUGGUUGGUCCUGAAAUACUGCCAACAGCUAUUAACAAUUUCUAAGAUAAGUAGGACUGGGACAUCUGUGCUCUCAAUUGUCCAUUUCAAUAAUAAUAACAUGAGCAUCAUGAACAGUUUUGUUAACCUUUCUGUUAUUGUUUUUCUCACUAAUCAUAUCAGAAAUAUCUGCAUCAACAUAGCCUACAGUAGUAAUUAAAGCUGUGCAGAGAUGUGGUGUGCAGCUAGCCUCAAUGGUACCCAUCUCACCACACCCAUAUGGCUGUGGGUUUCAUGCUAAGAGCAUUGAUGAUUAUAGGUCUGGGGCCAAAGAACAACUGGAGUCUAUAUCUGAAAAUGCAGAAUGGAAAGUGCCUAGUGUGGCAAGCUGUCCUGGUCUCAGCUGGGACAGAUAUCAUUUUUUGUAGUAGUUGGUACAGGGCCGUUUUGGAUUCAGUGGGAGAAUGUGGAUAACACACUGAUGUUUUGGUUGUUGCUAAGCUGUGCUUACCUGAGUCAAGGACUUUUCAGUGUGUCAUGCUCUGCCUGUGAGGAGCUGCAGCAGAAGCUGGGAGGGAGCAUGGCCUGAACUGCUGACCCAAACUGGCCAAAGGGAUAAUCCCUAUUGCAAAAUGUUCUCAGUUCUGUUUUGUCCAGUUGGGAAAACCAUGCAACAGCUGGUAAUUUGUGACAUUCCUAAUCUGCAUCAGGCUGUAGCCUAAAGUGUAUAAAGUGGGGGAAUUACCUGGAAGGGGCCAAUUGCUGCAGGGGGACAGGCUGGGCAUCAGGUGCGAUAAGGAGUGAGCAACCAUCUUGUGCUUCACUUACAUUUCUUGGGGUUCCUCUCCCUGUCUCCUUUUCUUUUUAAUCACAAUUAUUAUUAGUAGUAUUGUCAUUACUACUGGUAUUAUUAUUAUCAUCAUCAUCAUUAUUAUUAUUAUAUUUUACUUUGUUUCAGUUGUAAUCAGUGACACAGGGUCUACAUGGAGGCCUCUCACUAGUGGUUUCCCCCAAAGUUCAAUACUUGGCCUAGUAUCCUUUAACUUACUUAUCAAUGACUUU